CCUACGGGGGGCUGCAGUCGAGAAUCAUUCACAAUGGGGGAAACCCUGAUGGUGCGACGCCGCGUGGGGGAAUGAAGGUCUUCGGAUUGUAAACCCCUGUCGUGUGGGAGCAAAUUAAAAAGAUAGUACCACAAGAGGAAGAGACGGCUAACUCUGUGCCAGCAGCCGCGGUAAUACAGAGGUCUCAAGCGUUGUUCGGAAUCACUGGGCGUAAAGCGUGCGUAGGCUGUUUCGUAAGUCGUGUGUGAAAGGCGCGGGCUCAACCCGCGGACGGCACAUGAUACUGCGAGACUAGAGUAAGGGAGGGGGAACCGGAAUUCUCGGUGUAGCAGUGAAAUGCGUAGAUAUCGAGAGGAACACUCGUGGCGAAGGCGGGUUCCUGGACAUUAACUGACGCUGAGGCACGAAGGCCAGGGGAGCGAAAGGGAUUAGAUACCCUAGUAGUC
rnacentral:rRNA from 1 species